UACGGGGGGGGCAAGCGUUGUUCGGAAUUACUGGGCGUAAAGGGCCAGUAGGCGGCCAACUAAGUCCGACGUGAAAUCCCAAGGCUUAACCUUGGAACUGCGUCGGAUACUGGAUGGCUUGAAUUCGGGAGAGGGAUGCAGAAUUCCAGGUGUAGCGGUGAAAUGCGUAGAUAUCUGGAGGAACACCAACGGCGAAGGCAGCCCGCUGGGACGGUACUGACGCUAAGGCGCGAAAGCGUGGGGAGCGAACAGG
rnacentral:rRNA from 1 species